rnacentral:rRNA from 1 species
UACGAAGGGGGCGUAGCGUUGUUCGGAUUUACUGGGCGUAAAGCGCACGUAGGCGGAUCGUUAAGUCGGGGGUGAAAUCCUGGAGCUCAACUCCAGAACUGCCUUCGAUACUGGCGAUCUUGAGUCCGGAAGAGGUGAGUGGAACUCCUAGUGUAGAGGUGGAAUUCGUAGAUAUUAGGAAGAACACCAGUGGCGAAGGCGGCUCACUGGUCCGGUACUGACGCUGAGGUGCGAAAGCGUGGGGAGCAAACAGG